rnacentral:rRNA from 1 species
AGAGUUUGAUCCUGGCUCAGGAUGAACGCUAGCGGCAGGCCUAAUACAUGCAAGUCGAACGAUACCAGGGAGCUUGCUCUCUGGGAAAGUGGCGCACGGGUGCGUAACGCGUAUGCAACCUACCUUAAUCAGGGGGAUAGCCUCUCGAAAGAGAGAUUAACACCGCAUAAAAUCAAAGAAUGGCAUCAUUCAAUGAUCAAAUAUUUAUAGGAUUAAGAUGGGCAUGCGUGUCAUUAGCUAGUUGGUGAGGUAACGGCUCACCAAGGCGACGAUGACUAGGGGAUCUGAGAGGAUGACCCCCCACACUGGUACUGAGACACGGACCAGACUCCUACGGGAGGCAGCAGUAAGGAAUAUUGGUCAAUGGAGGCAACUCUGAACCAGCCAUGCCGCGUGCAGGAAGACGGCCCUACGGGUUGUAAACUGCUUUUAUACGGGAAUAAACCUCUUUACGUGUAGAGAGUUGAAUGUACUGUAAGAAUAAGGAUCGGCUAACUCCGUGCCAGCAGCCGCGGCAAUACGGAGGAUCCAAGCGUUAUCCGGAUUUAUUGGGUUUAAAGGGUGCGUAGGCGGCUUAUUAAGUCAGGGGUGAAAGACGGUGGCUCAACCAUCGCAGUGCCUUUGAUACUGAUGAGCUUGAAUACACUUGAGGUAGGCGGAAUGUGACAAGUAGCGGUGAAAUGCAUAGAUAUGUCACAGAACACCAAUUGCGAAGGCAGCUUACUAAGGUGCAAUUGACGCUGAGGCACGAAAGCGUGGGGAUCAAACAGGAUUAGAUACCCUGGUAGUCC